UGAGGAAUAUUGGUCAAUGGGCGGAAGCCUGAACCAGCCAUGCCGCGUGCAGGACGACGGCCCUACGGGUUGUAAACUGCUUUUCCGGGGGAAGAAUAAGGCCCAUGCGUGGGCCGAUGCCGGUACCCCGGGAAUAAGGAUCGGCUAACUCCGUGCCAGCAGCCGCGGUAAUACGGAGGAUCCUAGCGUUAUCCGGAUUUACUGGGUUUAAAGGGUGCGUAGGCGGGCCCCUCAGUCAGCGGUGAAAGUCUGCGGCUCAACCGUAGGAUUGCCGUUGAUACUUGGGGUCUUGAAUUCGGUCAAGGUUGGCGGAAUGCGUGAUGUAGCGAUGAAAUACUUAGAUAUCACGCAGAACGCCGAUAGCGAAGGCAGCUCACCGGGCCGACAUUGACGCUGAGGCACGAAAGCGUGGGGAUCGAACA
rnacentral:rRNA from 1 species